rnacentral:misc_RNA from 1 species
GAUGAAGAACGUAGCGAAAUGCGAUAAGUAAUGUGAAUUGCAGAAUUCAGUGAAUCAUCGAGUCUUUGAACGCACAUUGCGCCCCCUGGUAUUCCGGGGGGCAUGCCUGUCCGAGCGUCAUUGCUGCCCUCAAGCACGGCUUGUGUGUUGGGCCUCCGCCCCCCGGCUCCCGGGGGGCGGGCCCGAAAGGCAGCGGCGGCACCGCGUCCGGUCCUCGAGCGUAUGGGGCUUCGUCACCCGCUCCGUAGGCCCGGCCGGCGCCCGCCGGCGACCCCCCUCAAUCUUUCCAGGUUGACCUCGGAUCAGGUAGGGAUACCCGCUGAACUUAAGCAUAUCAAUAAGCGGAGGA